GUUAAAGGUGUGCACCACCACUGCCCGCUUCAUCCAUGCUUCUUAAUAAGGUAAGUCAUCCUUUAUAAUCUUAAAGUGCAUUGAAGCUGUGCAUUACUGGAGAGAGAAAACACUUCGUGGUACAGACUAACCCUGUAGGUAACAAGACAUUUACCUCCCCUUUCAAACACUCAGAGCGCCAGAGCAGGCCUCAGUUGGUCGAGUACUUGCCUAGCAUAAACAGUCUUAGAUUCCAUCCCCAGCAAUGCGCUUCAACUGAGUGUGGUGGUGGGAUGUACCUGUAAUCCCAGCCCUGGGAAGUAGAGGCAAGAGAAACAGGAAGGAACUCAAGGGCACCUUCAACUACACAGUGAGUUUGAGGUCAACUUGGGCUACAUAAAUAUAGUUGGCAGCUCCCUGUCUCCUCUGUUUUAACCUUAUUAUCCCUCCUCUGCUUGCCCAGGUCUUGUCUUCUGCUCUGCCUUCCUUUCAACCCCAGUCAGGUGCUACCCUGGUGUAGAAAGAGGCUGCUUGGGCUUUCUCACUGCUAGUUGGACAGAAGCCAGGCUGGUUUGCUCAGCUCCUCAUUUCCUCCCCACAGGCUGGUUAGGUGCACUGAGUAUCUCUAUGUUACAAUAAGGUACCUAAGUACUGGAGAAAGUUAAGAAAUACAUCCUCACUGGCCAAAUUCUAUGUCCUAAGCUACUGAAAGUGUUUACAACACAAAAAUCCAGAAUGGACUAAAACCGAAAACUGUUUUAAAAAGACUUAUUUCAUUGCUUUAUGGAUAUGUGUGUGUGCACCUGAGUGUCUAUAUAUAAUUAUUUUUAUAUACAUACACAUAUAUAUGUAUAUCUAUACUACUUACAUACAGGUCUUUGGAGGCCAGAAUAGGGCAUCAAAUUCCUGGCAUUGGAGUUAUAAGCUGUUGUGACUACCCGAUGUGGUUGCUGGGACCUAAAACCAGGUCACAUGCAAGAGCAGCAAGUGUUCUUAACCACUGACCCAUCCCUCCAGUCUCCCCACCUCUCCAGAACCAGCUUUUUGAACACCAACCCAAAGCCACAAAUGAAACACUCCAGACCACAACUCUUUGCUUCACACACAAAAUUAUUAAAAAUCCCAUAUGAAAUUUUCUUUAGGUGUCCAAUAUAGUAGCCUAUAUCUAUAAUUUCAGCCCCUAGGGCAUAUAGCAAGAGAAUUCCAAAUUGAAGACCAGUGAGACCCUGAAAGAAAGAAAAAGAAAGAAAGGAAGGAAGGAAGAAAGAAAGAAGGAAGGAAGGAAGGAAGGAAGGAAAGAAAGAAAGAAAAAGAAAGAAAGAAAGAAAGAAAGAAAGAAAGAAAGAAAGAAAGAAAGAGAAAGGCAGAAAGGAAGGAAGGAAGGAAGGAAAGAAAGAAAAGAAAGAGAAAGGAAGGAAGAGAAGGAAAGAAAGAUAGG
rnacentral:lncRNA from 1 species